UUGCAGUGAUGAUAUCAUCAAACUUGAUAGCAUAUACCAGUGCUACAUGAUAGGUCGACAAUUAUGUUGUUGUCGACCUGAGCGGUUAAUCGAGCAA